GGAAGAUGAUUAUUGAUUUCUUUCUCGUUGAGAAUCUUUGUUUGUUCAAACAUUUCCAAAUGAGAGUAUUGCAAUUCUUGAAUCAUUUUAAAAUAUUUAUCAUUUAAGAUUUGCAAUUUCUCAUUUUCUUUCUCAAUCUCAAAUAGUCGAUUUUCCAUAAUUGUAUACUUUUGAGAUAUAAUGUUUGAGCUCUUUAGAAGAUUAUCAAAUCCAACUUCCAUUACUUUACAUGCAGGACAAAAUUCAAAAGUUGUUACCUCUUUAUCUAUCAUUGAACAUGAGUUGUCUUUUUCUUCUAUUUUUGAGCCAUCAAAGUCAUCUUUAGUUGCCAUCGUAG
rnacentral:lncRNA from 1 species